UUACCCCUUUUAGACCCAUCGCCGUUUACCCAAAAAAAAUGGAGGACUGCUCUCUGCUCUCACUCUGGAACGACACAAAAACGGGCACCCUUCUUGUUCUUCCUCAUUUUCUAACCUAACAAACCACUCACAACCAGACCCUCCCCAAUUUUUGAAGGAACAACGGCGCUCCCCCUCCUCUCGAGAACAAUCAGAUCUGAUCCCUCACACAUUACACCUAAGGAGAUGAAAAAAUCAGAGGCUCUUCUUUAAAAGAAGCGCCGUUCCUCCCUUCUUCUCCUUCAUUGCUCAUUCACAUACAGAGAACACACUCUUUCCCUCCCAUUUUUCUCUGAUUUCAUCAACACACACACGUUGAAGCCUUUGGUAACAAGUGGAAAUUAGAGAAUCUAGCGCUGAAAUUCGAAGGUGACGAAGCUGAUUUUCAGCCUUGAAUUUUUAUUUUUAUUCUCCACAUUUUUCUGGGAAUUUUAGAGCUUGAUGAAGCCGUAAAGAUUACUUCGAAGCUGAGAGUUGUUGGAACUGUUUGAUUUCGAGCUCGUUGUUGUUUGUUGGCUGGAGCUUCAUUUUUUCAUCUAUGGGUACUAAUUCGUCAAGUUUCACCUCUUGAAUUUUGCUUCUAGGGACUUCAGUUAGCUUACUCAACAACCUUGUUCCACUAGAGGUGGAAGUGGAUUCUCAAGACCUUAUAACACUUCUCUAUUCUAACAGUGUCUCAUUCGAUAAUUUGACUACUGACUGCAGGUACUUCCUAGAUAGGUUAGGUAAGCUUGUAGUACUGCAUGCGUACAGAGAAUAGAAUAGGGUUGCAGAUAAACUAGCAAAGGCAGGCUUCAAUUUUGACAUUUACUCAACAGUGCGAGUUUUGGAUGACAACCCAGAUUUUGCAUGGUCAGUUUUUCAGCAAGAAAGGAGUGCAGCAAGAACCUGUUUUGGAACACUCAAUGCCUCACUCUGAUAACUUUCAUAUUGUAAAGGUGUUGUAAUAGUAAUGCAAUGGUUAGUAGUACUCAUAUCGGUUUGUAAAAUCCUUUGGCACCCACUACUGAUGCAUUAGCAUGUAAUAGGCUGCAAUAUAGGCAGCCUCCCUCUGUACGCAAUACUUAUUAUUAAUAUAUGUCUAUCUUUUAAACCAAAAAAAAAGAUUUGGGAUGUUCAA